rnacentral:misc_RNA from 1 species
GAUGAAGAACGCAGCGAAAUGCGAUACGUAAUGUGAAUUGCAGAAUUCAGUGAAUCAUCGAAUCUUUGAACGCAUAUUGCGCUCUCUGGUAUUCCGGAGAGCAUGCUUGUUUGAGUAUCAGUAAACACCUCAACUUCCAUAUCUUUUUUGAAAUGGGAGUUGGACUUGAGUGAUCCCAACGCUUUUCCUCACCGAAAAGUGGCGGGUUACUUGAAAUGCAGGUGCAGCUGGACUUUUCUCUGAGCUAUAAGCAUAUCUAUUUAGUCUGCCUAAAAAACAGAUUAUUACCUUUGCUGCAGCUAACAUAAAGGAGAUUAGUUCUUGUGCUGACUGAUGCAGGAUUCACAAAGACGGCUUCGGCCGACUUUGUAAACUCGAUCUCAGAUCAAGUAAGACUACCCGCUGAACUUAAGCAUAUCAAUAAGCGGAGGA